AACCCAUGUUGAGGACAUUUCCGUAGGAGCUCCUUGAACCUAUCCUCUAUCUCAAAAAGAGACUCCAAUUUCGUUUGCACAAAGGAGGAAAUUUCAUUUCUGAGCUU